rnacentral:misc_RNA from 1 species
CCCUGUGACAUACCUAUCGUUGCUUCGGCGGAUCCGCCCCGGCGCCCUCGGGCCCGGAUCAGGCGCCCGCCGGAGACCCCAAACUCUUGUAUUUCUUUAGUAUCUUCUGAGUAAACAAGCAAAUAAAUUAAAACUUUCAACAACGGAUCUCUUGGUUCUGGCAUCGAUGAAGAACGCAGCAACCUCAUUACUACUUCCUCUCCAACCCUGUGCACCCCCCUGUUGCCUCCCUGACCUCCCCCCCUCCUUCCGGUCUGC